rnacentral:lncRNA from 1 species
UUUAACUGACUCAACGAUGAUUGCCUAGGUCGUCGGUUGGAGAGCAAGAUUUUUUUUCUCAAAGAUUUACGGGUUCUUAAAAAAAAGUGUAAGCUAUGGUGUCGAAGAAACGAAAUUAGGGGAUGCUUUGGUAGGAAGGUAGUGCACGAGGUUUCAAGAUCUUUCCAAGAUUUGUUUCUUCCAUGAAUGUCGGCAAAAGAGAAGAAACUGAACCGGUAGUAUCGAGAUGGCGAUUUACGUGGCAACCAUAUGGAAAACCACAGAGGAGAAGGAAGAAGGAUUCAUCGGAGAUAUAUGACCGUGCGAGGGAGGAAUGCAAAAAGGGUGCAGGGACUUCCAAACGAACGAUGGAAAAUUCUUUUAUG